rnacentral:rRNA from 1 species
CUGCGCCUACGAGACGCAGCAGUGGGGGAUAUUGCACAAUGGGGGGAACCCUGAUGCAGCGACGCCGCGUGAACGAAGAAAUAUUUCGGUAUGUAAAGUUCUAUCAGCAGGGAAGAAAAUGACAGUACCUGACCAAGAAGCCCCGGCUAACUACGUGCCAGCAGCCGCGGUAAUACGUAGGGGGCGAGCGUUAUCCGGAUUCACUGGGCGUAAAGGGAGCGUAGACGGCUAUGCAAGUCUGGAGUGAAAGGCGGGGGCCCAACCCCCGGACUGCUCUGGAAACUGUAGAGCUAGAGUGCAGGAGG